rnacentral:rRNA from 1 species
GAUGAACGCUGGCGGCGUGCCUAAUACAUGCAAGUCGAGCGAAUGGAUUAAGAGCUUGCUCUUAUGAAGUUAGCGGCGGACGGGUGAGUAACACGUGGGUAACCCGCCCAUAAGACUGGGAUAACUCCGGGAAACCGGGGCUAAUACCGGAUAACAUUUUGAACCGCAUGGUUCGAAAUUGAAAGGCGGCUUCGGCUGUCACUUAUGGAUGACCCGCGUCGCAUUAGCUAGUUGGUGAGGUAACGGCUCACCAAGGCAACGAUGCGUAGCCGACCUGAGAGGGUGAUCGGCCACACUGGGACUGAGACACGGCCCAGACUCCUACGGGAGGCAGCAGUAGGGAAUCUUCCGCAAUGGACGAAAGUCUGACGGAGCAACGCCGCGUGAGUGAUGAAGGCUUUCGGGUCGUAAAACUCUGUUGUUAGGGAAGAACAAGUGCUAGUUGAAUAAGCUGGCACCUUGACAGUACCUAACCAGAAAGCCACGGCUAACUACGUGCCAGCAGCCGCCGCUG